CCCUCUUCCCUUCAAGCUGCCACAGUCGCCGCCAUGUCGUCUCUCUCCACUCCGCCGCCUUCUUGUUUGUGUCUUGUUCUGUCUCUCGCUCUACUCACUGCGUAUGCGAUCUCUCUCGCUCUCCACGCUGCAAUGUGAUCUCUUUCUCACUCUCCUCGUUGCAAUUUGUUAUCUGAAGCUCUGUUUAUCUUAAGCUUUUGUUGCAAUUGAAAAAGAAAUUGAACCCGUUGAUGAAAGCAUGAUUUGGUGGAAUAUGCAAAGUUGUUGCCUCUGUACUGCUGCCUAUUUCCUGCUAUCACUAUAAAGCCAAGGUGAAGUCCUAGCGCCCGUUACAGAGGUCCGGAACCUGUAAGAGAUUUUAUGUAUUUACAAAUGAAUUCAAAGCUAUACAAGUAGUUACUUGAUUUGAUUUAGGCUCCGUUUGAUCAAAUUAAGCUAUAAGGUAGCUGAAAUGAUAAUGGCUUGUGAGUGUAAUACUUGAAAUGAUUAUGUGUGUGGCUUGUAAUGAAAUUAUAAGCUGAAACGUUUUCUGCAAUAUCUGUUUUGCUGCAAAAUUCUAAUGUUUGCACUUUUUGUACAGAAUUUAUUAUUCUUAAUUGAACUUAAGAAGAGGUAUUGGUCGUAGGAAACUGGGUUAAUUAAUAUUUGUUCUGUUGAGUCUAUCUUAGGGAUACAAAACUGAAUUGGGACAGAACAAGCAAGCUUAUUAUUAUUUUUCUUUUUAAUACUUAUACUUCUGCAUAAUAGUUCUAAUCUUAUGAAGCUUAUCUGUUUUAGAAUGAUAAGCUUAAGGUUGAGUUUAUAGGACCUGGGCUGUAAACAACAGACAUAAGCUUGGCUUUGCACUUAAGUGAAUUAAGCUGAGAAUGACUUUAAUUGUUCUUGUGGUUACAUUAAAUUACUGUCUAUUGAGUAACUAAGGCCUCAUUACAACUGCAUAAUCUACUCAAAUAUGCAUUAAAGACUAAUAUUGAGAACUGGAAUGGUCUUCAAGUUGUUUGGUCACUAGGCUUAGAGUUUAAAACUUGCAUGCAGAAGUAGGGAGCAUGAUUCUAUUUUCUACAUAAUUGUCGGUGUUGCAGUUUUGGAUGUUAAUUUUAAUUUAAUUUUGGUUUGAAGUUUUUUAAUAUUUUAGAAUGAUAUGGUUGGUUUAAACUGCUGCCACUUUCCUGCUAUCAGUAUAAAGCCAAGCCAAGGUGAAGGCCGUUACAAUUUUUGUUUCUUGUCUUUCUAUUGUGUAGAUCAAGGUUAUGAACUUUUUUUCUUAUUUCAUUUGGUUCCUUAUCUAAGUUUCUAUGAUUUGUGUUCUCUAUGGUUGCUUCUACCAUGGCAUUUACUAGACUGAUUUGGUCUUUUCAACUGUGAUAAUUGGUUUGAAGGCCAAAAGAUCAGAACGAUCCAUUUGGUCAGUUUGGCCCUGUCAAGGAUGUUUAGGACACAAUUUUUACCAUAUCAUGUAAAAAUAUUUAUCUACCAUUUAAUUUUUUCUGUGAUGUUCCUCUAGACUUAUAAUAUAAAUAUGUCUGUAAGUAUGCUGCUGACAUGUUUAAUAUUAAAUUUGGAAGCAUUUGGUGGUAAGUAAAUUGUCGAAUAUAUUAUAAAGUGUUGUUUUAUAAUGAGUAUUAUAAUUUGUAUUGCACAAGCUCUAAAGAGUGAUGAAUAGAUCUAUCAAACAAGCUACAGAAAGCUGACAUUAGAGGAAAAAAAACCAGACCUAAUAUUUAUUUUGGAUGAUGAGAUAAGAUAGAAUUGCAGAUCGGUGGAUUUGGAAGCAUGCUACUGGUGGUGGUUACACGGUCAGCAGCGCGUACAAAUUGCUCACUACUGUGGUCCCUCCACAGUUCAAUCUCCUCCACCGCCGUUCAUUCUCCUUCACAGUUUAAUCUCGAACCACAAUCCGUCAAACCCUCCGCAGUCGAAGAACUACAACCCCUCCUCCGUUCUCUGUUGUUCUCUGCAUUUCCAAGCAUAAGCUAGGUCAGGAUGCUUGAAAACAAUGACAGCGGGAUGUAGGUCAGGAUGACGUAGGGCAGCAGGACGCAUGUCAUCAAAGAGAUUCACCUGAUGUAGCCAACUCCAAGUUAUCAUAUGGUAUGAUUAGCUUGAAGCAACUAAUUUGCAAAUGGUGUCUGCUUGACAUGAAUUAUCUGAAACAACACUCGUUCAACAAGCUUAAAUGGGCAGUAAAUACAUUGAGAAGUUGAAGUUCAAGUUGUCUGAUGAGAGGAAGAAAAGGAAUUGGCUUAUCAUGAUUUUGUUGUUAUCAUGAGAAUUGUUUAUUGCAUAUUUAAUUACUUAGUAUUUAGGGGGAAACUUAUGGAUUUUAUUUGUAAUGUCAUGUACUUGAAAUAAUGUUAUAUGUUACUCUUGUUUUCUGUUUU